GAUGAACGCUAGCGGCAGGCCUAACACAUGCAAGUCGAGGGGUAGAGGAAGCUUGCUUCCUUGAGACCGGCGCACGGGUGCGUAACGCGUAUGCAAUCUACCUUUUACAGAGGGAUAGCCCAGAGAAAUUUGGAUUAAUACCUCAUAGUAUUUUCGAAUGGCAUCAUUUGAUUAUUAAAGUUCCAACGGUAAAAGAUGAGCAUGCGUCCUAUUAGCUAGAUGGUAAGGUAACGGCUUACCAUGGCAACGAUAGGUAGGGGUCCUGAGAGGGAGAUCCCCCACACUGCUACUGAGACACGGACCAGACUCCUACGGGAGGCAGCAGUGAGGAAUAUUGGACAAUGGGCGCAAGCCUGAUCCAGCCAUGCCGCGUGCAGGAAGACGCAUCUAUGGUGUGUAAACUGCUUUUGUACGGGAAGAAACACUCCCUCGUGAGGGAGCUUGACGGUACCGUAAGAAUAAGGAUCGGCUAACUCCGUGCCAGCAGCCGCCGUAAAAC
rnacentral:rRNA from 1 species